UACGGAGGGUGCAAGCGUUAAUCGGAAUUACUGGGCGUAAAGGGUGCGUAGGUGGUUUAAUAAGUUAGCUGUGAAAUACCUGGGCUUAACCUGGGCAGGUCAUCUAAGACUGUUAGACUAGAGUAUGGGAGAGGGUAGUGGAAUUUCCGGUGUAGCGGUGAAAUGCGUAGAUAUCGGAAGGAACACCGGUGGCGAAGGCGUCUACCUGGCCUAAUACUGACACUGAAGCACGAAAGCGUGGGGAGCAAACAGG
rnacentral:rRNA from 1 species